rnacentral:rRNA from 1 species
GACGAACGCUGGCGGCGUGCCUAAUACAUGCAAGUUGAGCGCUGAAGGUUGGUACUUGUACCGACUGGAUGAGCAGCGAACGGGUGAGUAACGCGUGGGGAAUCUGCCUUUGAGCGGGGGACAACAUUUGGAAACGAAUGCUAAUACCGCAUAAAAACUUUAAACACAAGUUUUAAGUUUGAAAGAUGCAAUUGCAUCACUCAAAGAUGAUCCCGCGUUGUAUUAGCUAGUUGGUGAGGUAAAGGCUCACCAAGGCGAUGAUACAUAGCCGACCUGAGAGGGUGAUCAGCCACAUUGGGACUGUGACACGGCCCAAACUCCUACGGGAGGCAGCAGUAGGGACUCUUCGGCAAUGGACGAAAGUCUGACCGAGCAACGCCGCGUGAGUGAAGAAGGUUUUCGGAUCGUACAACUCUGUUGGUAGAGAAGAACGUUGGUGAGAGUGGAAAGCUCAUCAAGUGACGGUAACUACCCAGAAAGGGACGGCUAACUACGUG